rnacentral:rRNA from 1 species
UGAGACACGGCCCAGACUCCUACGGGAGGCAGCAGUGGGGAAUUUUGGACAAUGGGGGAAACCCUGAUCCAGCCAUGCCGCGUGUGUGAAGAAGGCCUUCGGGUUGUAAAGCACUUUCGGACGGAACGAAAUCGCGCGGGCGAAUAUCCCGCGUGGAUGACGGUACCGUAAGAAGAAGCACCGGCUAACUACGUGCCAGCAGCCGCGGUAAUACGUAGGGUGCGAGCGUUAAUCGGAAUUACUGGGCGUAAAGCGUGCGCAGGCGGUUUCGCAAGUCAGACGUGAAAGCCCCGAGCUUAACUUGGGAAUUGCGUUUGAAACUACGAGGCUGGCGUGUGGCAGAGGGAGAUGGAAUUCCACGUGUAG